rnacentral:rRNA from 1 species
UACGGNCCGGCUUGAGUGCGGUAGGGGAGACUGGAACUCCUGGUGUAGCGGUGGAAUGCGCAGAUAUCAGGAAGAACACCGGUGGCGAAGGCGGGUCUCUGGGCCGUUACUGACGCUGAGGAGCGAAAGCGUGGGGAGCGAACAGGAUUAGAUACCCUGGUAGUNCACGCCGUAAACGUUGGGCACUAGGUGUGGGGGGCCUUUUCCGGGUCUUCCGCGCCGUAGCUAACGCAUUAAGUGCCCCGCCUGGGGAGUACGGCCGCAAGGCUAAAACUCAAAGGAAUUGACGGGGGCCCGCACAAGCGGCGGAGCAUGCGGAUUAAUUCGAUGCAACGCGAAGAACCUUACCAAGGCUUGACAUGUGCCGGUCGGCUCCGGAGACGGGGUUUCCUCCUUGUGGGGCCGGUUCACAGGUGGUGCAUGGUUGUCGUCAGCUCGUGUCGUGAGAUGUUGGGUUAAGUCCCGCAACGAGCGCAACCCUUGUCCCGUGUUGCCAGCACGUUGUGGUGGGGACUCGCGGGAGACUGCCGGGGUCAACUCGGAGGAAGGUGGGGAUGACGUCAAAUCAUCAUGCCCCUUAUGUCUUGGGCUUCACGCAUGCUACAAUGGCCGGUACAGAGGGCUGCGAUACCGUGAGGUGGAGCGAAUCCCUUAAAGCCGGUCUCAGUUCGGAUCGGUGUCUGCAACUCGACACCGUGAAGUUGGAGUCGCUAGUAAUCGCAGAUCAGCAACGCUGCGGUGAAUACGUUCUCGGGCCUUGUACACACCGCCCGUCACGUCAUGAAAGUCGNC